rnacentral:lncRNA from 1 species
AGGCAAAGCCAGAAAGCCCUGGCAACCCAAAACUGAAGGAUCUGGGGCUUUCUUCCUGCAAGCUCUGCUCAGCGAGGGGCUUGUGCUCCUACAAGCUCUUUGCUACAUAAGUCAAGCCAAACUUCCAUUUCCCGACAUGACAUGGCCAAAUAAGAGAAGGCCAGGUUACCAGAGAUUAAAAAUAGGACAUUGCUGCAGAGUCCUGGGACUGGCUGGCAAAUGACACAGGAACUUUGGGAGCGCAUGGACUCAGGCCAAGCGGCCGUCCUCACCCUCGGCCACCUCAGGGCAGGGACGAAGAGUAAAGCCCAGCCUUUGAUGGUGAGGAUUAGUCCCAAAAUUCUGGAGUUCACCACUCCUCCCACUACACUGGCUUUAUUUCAAAUCUCUAUUGGUCCAUGUCAACAUCAGCGAUGGGAGUUGAAAGAAGUAAAACAGUGAC